GAUGAACGCUGGCGGCGUGCCUAAUACAUGCAAGUCGAGCGAACGGACGAGAAGCUUGCUUCUCUGAUGUUAGCGGCGGACGGGUGAGUAACACGUGGAUAACCUACCUAUAAGACUGGGAUAACUUCGGGAAACCGUAGCUAAUACCGGAUAAUAUUUUGAACCGCAUCGUUCAAAAGUGAAAGACGGUCUUGCUGUCACUUAUAGAUGGAUCCGCGCUGCAUUAGCUAGUUGGUAAGGUAACGGCUUACCAAGGCAACGAUGCAUAGCCGACCUGAGAGGGUGAUCGGCCACACUGGAACUGAGACACGGUCCAGACUCCUACGGGAGGCAGCAGUAGGGAAUCUUCCGCAAUGGGCGAAAGCCUGACGGAGCAACGCCGCGUGAGUGAUGAAGGUCUUCGGAUCGUAAAACUCUGUUAUUAGGGAAGAACAUAUGUGUAAGUAACUGUGCACAUCUUGACGGUACCUAAUCAGAAAGCCACGGCUAACUACGUG
rnacentral:rRNA from 1 species